UACGGAGGGGGCUAGCGUUGUUCGGAAUUACUGGGCGUAAAGCGCGCGUAGGCGGCUUUGUAAGUUAGAGGUGAAAGCCCGGAGCUUAACUCCGGAACUGCCUUUAAGACUGCAUCGCUAGAAUUGUGGAGAGGUAAGUGGAAUUCCGAGUGUAGAGGUGAAAUUCGUAGAUAUUCGGAAGAACACCAGUGGCGAAGGCGACUUACUGGACACAUAUUGACGCUGAGGUGCGAAAGCGUGGGGAGCGAUCCGG
rnacentral:rRNA from 1 species